rnacentral:misc_RNA from 1 species
GACGAAGAACGUAGCGAAAUGCGAUACUUGGUGUGAAUUGCAGAAUCCCGUGAACCAUCGAGUCUUUGAACGCAAGUUGCGCCUCAAGCCAUUAGGUUGAGGGCACGUCUGCCUGGGCGUCACAUAUCGUUGCCUGAUGCCAGUUUCCUCGUGAUGGGUGACUGUGCAGGGCGAAUGAUGGCUUCCCGUGAGCAUUGUUGCCUCAUGGUUGGUUGAAAAUUGAGUCCUUGGUAGGGAGCGCCGUGAUAGAUGGUGGUUGAGUGACGAACGAGACCCAAUCAUGUGAGACCCCUACCGAAUUUGGCCUUCAUGACCCACAUGCGUCUUUGGAACGCUCAUGACGAGACCUCAGGUCAGGCGGGGCUACCCGCUGAGUUUAAGCAUAUCAAUAAGCGGAGGA